UACGUAGGGAGCGAGCGUUGUCCGGAUUUACUGGGUGUAAAGGGUGCGUAGGCGGGCUGGUAAGUCAGGCGUGAAAUCCCGGGGCUCAACUCCGGGGCUGCGCUUGAAACUGCCGGUCUUGAGUGAAGUAGAGGCAAGCGGAAUUCCUAGUGUAGCGGUGAAAUGCGUAGAUAUUAGGAGGAACACCAGUGGCGAAGGCGGCUUGCUGGGCUUUAACUGACGCUGAGGCACGAAAGCGUGGGGAGCAAACAGG
rnacentral:rRNA from 1 species